rnacentral:rRNA from 1 species
AUUGAACGCUGGCGGCAUGCUUUACACAUGCAAGUCGAACGGCAGCGCGGGCUUCGGCCUGGCGGCGAGUGGCCAACGGGUGAGUAAUGCAUCGGAACGUGCCCAGUAGUGGGGGAUAGCCUGGCGAAAGCCGGAUUAAUACCGCAUACGACCUGAGGGUGAAAGCGGGGGACCGAAAGGCCUCGCGCUAUUGGAGGGGACGAUGUCGGAUUAGCUAGUUGGUGGGGUAAAGGCUUACCAAGGCGACGAUCCGUAGCUGGUCUGAGAGGACGACCAGCCACACUGGGACUGAGACACGGCCCAGACUCCUACGGGAGGCAGCAGUGGGGAAUUUUGGACAAUGGGGGCAACCCUGAUCCAGCCAUGCCGCGUGCGUGAAGAAGGCCUUCGGGUUGUAAACCGCUUUUGUUCGGGAAGAAAACCUCUGGGCUAAUACCCCGGGGGGAUGACGGUACCGGAAGAAUAAGCACCGGCUAACUACGUG